AGCAGUCCCUGCUUUGGAUGCAUCUGUUCCUACUGGCUGGAGUCUCUGGCUGACUCCUUUCUGCAAUGCACGAAUACUCUGCUUCAUCAGAUUCAGAACAAUCACAGAUGGUGUUACAUAUACUUGGAGGAAAAACAUCUAUUUCUCCUACUGUAGAGCAGUCUACUUAAUGAUUACAAACUUAAAUCCUUGGAUAUCAAUUUCCAUCUCUAUUCUGGAUGAUCUCGUUUUCUGCAGGGUGAGACGGAUCUGUGGACCUUAUUACCAGAAGAAAGGAAAUUUUCAGGAGGAAGAGUUUGAGUCUUGCCGCCUCCAUCUUCUGAGUACAAGAAUGAUGAACAUUUGGAGCAACACUUCACGACAUGUCCCUCUCCUAGGUAAAUGAGACAUCUCCUAGAUCAUGUUGCUUGAAUAGACAAGGAUUUUCUAUCAAUGACACAUGGGUCAAAGGCCCUGCCAGAAUUUCAAACUAUGCUAUCGUUGCUAAGGACAGAAUCUUUUGCUGAUUGAAAAACUAUGAGAUGAGCUGAAAUCAGACUAUUCAAGAUAACUGUCCUCAGAAUUUGUAAGAGGGGGAGAGGGGACACAGCAUCUGCUGUGCCAGGCCAUCAUCUCUGGAACUGGAUUCCUCAGUUGGACCAAAAGAAACAGAAUUUACUGACCUACAGGGCAUCCUGCAUGACUUAUUUAUUUACACACAUCUUUUUGGAGAAGGUUCACACAAAAAGUUGACAAAACCCAGAACUUGGCUGAAUUUUUUAUGGUAUUUAUCUCAACACCACACUUUAUUAUCUUCAAAGACUGUUGCCAAGAUUUCAGUGGUUUGAACCAAAGGUUAACCAAAUGUUAUAGCAACGAAAUGACUAAGCAACUAUGAUUCUGUUUCUGGGCUCUUGGUUGCUGUUUUAGAGAUGACAGCAUGUGAAAGAUUAAUAAAAUACUUUAUAUUC